UUAAGCGACUAAGCGUACACGGUGGAUGCCCUGGCAGUCAGAGGCGAUGAAGGACGUGCUAAUCUGCGAUAAGCGUCGGUGAGGUGAUAUGAACCGUUAUAACCGGCGAUUUCCGAAUGGGGAAACCCAGUGUGAUUCGUCACACUAUCAUUAACUGAAUCCAUAGGUUAAUGAGGCGAACCGGGGGAACUGAAACAUCUAAGUACCCCGAGGAAAAGAAAUCAACCGAGAUUCCCCCAGUAGCGGCGAGCGAACGGGGAGGAGCCCAGAGCCUGAAUCAGUGUGUGUGUUAGUGGAAGCGUCUGGAAAGGCGCGCGAUACAGGGUGACAGCCCCGUACACAAAAAUGCACAUACUGUGAGCUCGAUGAGUAGGGCGGGACACGUGGUAUCCUGUCUGAAUAUGGGGGGACCAUCCUCCAAGGCUAAAUACUCCUGACUGACCGAUAGUGAACCAGUACCGUGAGGGAAAGGCGAAAAGAACCCCGGCGAGGGGAGUGAAAAAGAACCUGAAACCGUGUACGUACAAGCAGUGGGAGCACAGAGCAAUCUGUGUGACUGCGUACCUUUUGUAUAAUGGGUCAGCGACUUAUAUUCUGUAGCAAGGUUAACCGAAUAGGGGAGCCGAAGGGAAACCGAGUCUUAACUGGGCGUUAAGUUGCAGGGUAUAGACCCGAAACCCGGUGAUCUAGCCAUGGGCAGGUUGAAGGUUGGGUAACACUAACUGGAGGACCGAACCGACUAAUGUUGAAAAAUUAGCGGAUGACUUGUGGCUGGGGGUGAAAGGCCAAUCAAACCGGGAGAUAGCUGGUUCUCCCCGAAAGCUAUUUAGGUAGCGCCUCGUGAAUUCAUCUCCGGGGGUAGAGCACUGUUUCGGCAAGGGGGUCAUCCCGACUUACCAACCCGAUGCAAACUGCGAAUACCGGAGAAUGUUAUCACGGGAGACACACGGCGGGUGCUAACGUCCGUCGUGAAGAGGGAAACAACCCAGACCGCCAGCUAAGGUCCCAAAGUCAUGGUUAAGUGGGAAACGAUGUGGGAAGGCCCAGACAGCCAGGAUGUUGGCUUAGAAGCAGCCAUCAUUUAAAGAAAGCGUAAUAGCUCACUGGUCGAGUCGGCCUGCGCGGAAGAUGUAACGGGGCUAAACCAUGCACCGAAGCUGCGGCAGCGACACUAUGUGUUGUUGGGUAGGGGAGCGUUCUGUAAGCCUGUGAAGGUGUACUGUGAGGUAUGCUGGAGGUAUCAGAAGUGCGAAUGCUGACAUAAGUAACGAUAAAGCGGGUGAAAAGCCCGCUCGCCGGAAGACCAAGGGUUCCUGUCCAACGUUAAUCGGGGCAGGGUGAGUCGACCCCUAAGGCGAGGCCGAAAGGCGUAGUCGAUGGGAAACAGGUUAAUAUUCCUGUACUUGGUGUUACUGCGAAGGGGGGACGGAGAAGGCUAUGUUGGCCGGGCGACGGUUGUCCCGGUUUAAGCGGGUAGGCUGGUUUUCCAGGCAAAUCCGGAAAACUAAGGCUGAGGCGUGAUGACGAGGCACUACGGUGCUGAAGCAACAAAUGCCCUGCUUCCAGGAAAAGCCUCUAAGCAUCAGGUAACAUCAAAUCGUACCCCAAACCGACACAGGUGGUCAGGUAGAGAAUACCAAGGCGCUUGAGAGAACUCGGGUGAAGGAACUAGGCAAAAUGGUGCCGUAACUUCGGGAGAAGGCACGCUGAUAUGUAGGUGAAGUCCCUCGCGGAUGGAGCUGAAAUCAGUCGAAGAUACCAGCUGGCUGCAACUGUUUAUUAAAAACACAGCACUGUGCAAACACGAAAGUGGACGUAUACGGUGUGACGCCUGCCCGGUGCCGGAAGGUUAAUUGAUGGGGUUAGCGGUAACGCGAAGCUCUUGAUCGAAGCCCCGGUAAACGGCGGCCGUAACUAUAACGGUCCUAAGGUAGCGAAAUUCCUUGUCGGGUAAGUUCCGACCUGCACGAAUGGCGUAAUGAUGGCCAGGCUGUCUCCACCCGAGACUCAGUGAAAUUGAACUCGCUGUGAAGAUGCAGUGUACCCGCGGCAAGACGGAAAGACCCCGUGAACCUUUACUAUAGCUUGACACUGAACAUUGAGCCUUGAUGUGUAGGAUAGGUGGGAGGCUUUGAAGUGUGGACGCCAGUCUGCAUGGAGCCGGCCUUGAAAUACCACCCUUUAAUGUUUGAUGUUCUAACGUUGGCCCCUGAUCGGGGUUGCGGACAGUGUCUGGUGGGUAGUUUGACUGGGGCGGUCUCCUCCUAAAGAGUAACGGAGGAGCACGAAGGUUGGCUAAUCCUGGUCGGACAUCAGGAGGUUAGUGCAAUGGCAUAAGCCAGCUUGACUGCGAGCGUGACGGCGCGAGCAGGUGCGAAAGCAGGUCAUAGUGAUCCGGUGGUUCUGAAUGGAAGGGCCAUCGCUCAACGGAUAAAAGGUACUCCGGGGAUAACAGGCUGAUACCGCCCAAGAGUUCAUAUCGACGGCGGUGUUUGGCACCUCGAUGUCGGCUCAUCACAUCCUGGGGCUGAAGUAGGUCCCAAGGGUAUGGCUGUUCGCCAUUUAAAGUGGUACGCGAGCUGGGUUUAGAACGUCGUGAGACAGUUCGGUCCCUAUCUGCCGUGGGCGCUGGAGAACUGAGGGGGGCUGCUCCUAGUACGAGAGGACCGGAGUGGACGCAUCACUGGUGUUCGGGUUGUCAUGCCAAUGGCACUGCCCGGUAGCUAAAUGCGGAAGAGAUAAGUGCUGAAAGCAUCUAAGCACGAAACUUGCCCCGAGAUGAGUUCUCCCUGACUCCUUGAGAGUCCUGAAGGAACGUUGAAGACGACGACGUUGAUAGGCCGGGUGUGUAAGCGCAGCGAUGCGUUGAGCUAACCGGUACUAAUGAACCGUGAGGCUUAACCU
rnacentral:rRNA from 1 species